GACCAGACUCCUACGGGAGGCAGCAGUGGGGAAUAUUGCACAAUGGGGGAAACCCUGAUGCAGCGACGCCGCGUGAGCGAUGAAGUAUUUCGGUAUGUAAAGCUCUAUCAGCAGGGAAGAAGAUGACGGUACCUGACUAAGAAGCCCCGGCUAACUACGUGCCAGCAGCCGCGGUAAUACGUAGGGGGCAAGCGUUAUCCGGAUUUACUGGGUGUAAAGGGAGCGUAGACGGCGAUGCAAGCCAGAUGUGAAAGCCCGGGGCUCAACCCCGGGACUGCAUUUGGAACUGUGUGGCUGGAGUGUCGGAGAGGCAGGCGGAAUUCCUAGUGUAGCGGUGAAAUGCGUAGAUAUUAGGAGGAACACCAGUGGCGAAGGCGGCCUGCUGGACGAUGACUGACGUUGAGGCUCGAAAGCGUGGGGAGCAAACAGGAUUAGAUACCCCCGUAU
rnacentral:rRNA from 1 species